rnacentral:sRNA from 1 species
GGAUGGGAAAGCGGUCUGUGACAGCUACCACCCCAAUGACCAUCAGUGUUAAACUAGGCUGAUCUGGCUAGCUAGGAGAGUGUCCCCUUUCUCCUUCACCACCCACAUGAAUCCCUCCUGAAACAGAAUCAAAUGGUCAAGGAGUAGAACCUUCCCAGGUAGAGCCGUCCUGAGGAAGCUGUUCUUUGGCCAAGGAUAUGCGAGUCGCUGCCUUCUCCAGCUAGAACCUCCAGACGCGCAAAGUCUCCCUUCUCCACCUUCUCCAUGGUAAGAGUAAAUGACAGGAUGCUUCCUAGAGUGCAGCAUUUAUCUGUUCGUUUA